rnacentral:rRNA from 1 species
GACGAACGCUGGCGGCGUGCUUAACACAUGCAAGUCGAACGGAAAGGCCUGCUUUCCCUUGUGGAUUGCGGGUACUCGAGUGGCGAACGGGUGAGUAACACGUGAGUGAUCUGCCCCCAACUUGGGUAUAAGCCUGGGAAACUGGGUCUAAUUCCCGAUAGGACUGCAGGGUGGUGCCUGUGGUGGAAAACGAUUUUCUAGUGGUUGGGGAUGAGCUCGCGGCCUAUCAGCUUGUUGGUGGGGUAAUGGCCUACCAAGGCGGCGACGGGUAGCCGGCCUGAGAGGGUGGACGGCCACAUUGGGACUGAGAUACGGCCCAGACUCCUACGGGAGGCAGGAGUGGGGAAUAUUGCACAAUGGGCGGAAGCCUGAUGCAGCGACGGCGCGUGGGGGAUGACGGCCUUCGGGUUGUAAACUCCUUUCGACCGCGAGGAAGCCACCUGGUUGGAAGGGUGGUGACGGUAGUGGUAGAAGAAGCACCGGCUAACUACGUG